rnacentral:rRNA from 1 species
UACGAGGGGGGCGAGCGUUGUUCGGAAUUAUUGGGCGUAAAGGGUGCGUAGGCGGUUUGGUAAGUCUUAUGUGAAAUCUAUGGGCUCAACUCAUAGUCUGCAUGAGAAACUGUCGGGCUUGAGUAUGGGAGAGGUGAGUGGAAUUUCCGGUGUAGCGGUGAAAUGCGUAGAUAUCGGAAGGAACACCUGUGGCGAAAGCGGCGACCUGGACGGACAUUGACGCUGAGACGCGAAAGCGUGGGGAGCAAACAGG